rnacentral:lncRNA from 1 species
CCGUGAAGAAAGUACAGGGUCUGAUGUGUUGUCCAUCUUCUCACCAUCUGAUGUAGGGGUGAGAGAUGAUUUGAUUCUCAUAUAAAUAGACCUUUAAAAAUAUGCAGGGAUGUCACAAGGAGUAGAGAAAAAUCACAACAGCUCUACAAGUUAAUUCAUUUCACUUACAUCAGGGAGCUUAAAAAAUACAGUGGUAUCUCAGUGGGUGCCUGUUUUAUUAGUCAUCCCUUAGAAACUGGACUCAUGGCUGACUAGAUUUAUGGAGUUUUGAAAUGAUAGGAAAAUGGCAACUUUGAUUGUGCAUUGGGGAGAUUAUUUAGAUGUCAAGUGUCUGAAUCUAGGCCUGUUUGGGGAAAGACAGUGCAUGCCAUGUUAACUGUUUUCUGAUGGUGGAAUUGUUUUAUUUUGUCAUGACUUAUUUACUUUUUUUUUU